AUUGAACGCUGGCGGCAUGCCUUACACAUGCAAGUCGAACGGUAACAGGUCUUCGGAUGCUGACGAGUGGCGAACGGGUGAGUAAUACAUCGGAACGUGCCUAGUAGUGGGGGAUAACUACUCGAAAGAGUGGCUAAUACCGCAUGAGAUCUACGGAUGAAAGCAGGGGAUCGCAAGACCUUGUGCUACUAGAGCGGCCGAUGGCAGAUUAGGUAGUUGGUGGGAUAAAAGCUUACCAAGCCGACGAUCUGUAGCUGGUCUGAGAGGACGAUCGGCCACACUGGGACUGAGAAACGGCCCAGACUCCUGCGGGAGGCAGCAGUGGGGAAUUUUGGACAAUGGGCGCAAGCCUGAUCCAGCAAUGCCGCGUGCAGGAUGAAGGCCUUCGGGUUGUAAACUGCUUUUGUACGGAACGAAAAGCCCCGGGUUAAUACCCUGGGGUCAUGACGGUACCGUAAGAAUAAGCACCGGCUAACUACGUGCCAGCAGCCGCCGUAA
rnacentral:rRNA from 1 species